rnacentral:rRNA from 1 species
UUUAGCGGUUGGUUCUGAUUCGUGGCAUGAGUAGUCCGGCAUUUCUCCCCCUGUACUCGCCUGUGAUGUAUGGUUUCUUCUGUUAGUACUAGUCAAUUGGUGUAGGCGCUGGUGGGUGGCUCGAUUUUGUAGGUUGGUUUAGAUCUAGGUCAUGAGAUGGGUGUUUUUGUGGUUAGGGUUGGUGAUUUGCGCUAGUAGGUGGUCUCUGUAUUGGUCUUUUUGCUCUUGUUGUUCCUGAACCCUCUUGAGUUUUUGUUGUAGAUGUAUGGCUUUUGGUAGGUUAGAUGUAGGUGUUAGUUCCCUUGUUUAGGGUCUUCUCAGUGCAUCGUAUUUAGUGAGUUAGCUCUGCUUUCCAUGGUUAGUAUGUUGUUCUGCUGCAUUUCCAUGGUUUUAUUUCACUUUAAUCCCCAUGUGUUCUAGCCGUGUAGGUGUUCCCCUGUGUAUUAGCAUUGUAGUUUUCAUUAUUUUGUCAGUGUUAGAUCAUCUCACUGAAUUUUUGUGUGCUAGCUCUGUAGUGCUGAUGUAUUAGAGUGUAAGCACAUGAAUUACAGUGUAAUUUAGCCCAUAAUUAUAGUGUAUUAUACCCUCAGAAUUACAGGGUAAUUUAGCCCACAAUUUCAGUGUAAUGUCCAUGUUUCUUUUUGUAAUUGCAGUGUAGUUUACCCUAGAAUUGCAGUGUAAUUUAGCCUAGAAUCUUUUUGGUAUAAUCCCGGUGCUUCACUUUUGUAUUUACAGUGUAACUUUUACCAGAAUUACAGUGUAACCCUCAUGCUUCAUUAUGUAAGGGCAGUGUAAUCUUCCCC